rnacentral:lncRNA from 1 species
GCACCAGAACCCUGAGGCCACCUGCCCUUGAUGCCUCUCACUGUCUUGCAGGAGCUGUGCCGCCAGCGCAUGGCCGUGCGCCCACCCGAUCGGCCUGAGGGCCCACACACCUCCCGAAUCAGCAGCGUCUCCUCCCAGUUCAGUGAUGGCCCCAUGCCCAGCCCCUCAGCACGUAGCAGCACCUCAUCCUGGUCUGAGGAGCCUGUGCAGUCCAACAUGGACAUCUCCACCGGCCACAUGAUCCUGGCCUACAUGGAGGACCACCUGCAGAACAAGAACCGGCUGGAGAAGGAGUGGGAGGCUUUGUGCGCCUACCAAGCAGAGCCCAGCAGCUCACUUGCUGCCCAGAGGGAAGAGAACUUGGCCAAGAACCGCUGCCCAGCCGUGCUGACCUGUA